UAUAAGUACAGCCAUGGUUUUCCGCGCCCAACUUUAACCGUCCGUCUUAUUUGAAAAAUUUUUAAAAAAAUUUAAAAACAUAAGUCACGAGUAAAGUACUAUUUAUAUUUUAUCAUCUCAUAACAAUAAAAAUACUAAUUAUAAAAAACUUUCAAAUAAGACGAACGAUCAAAGUUGGGCGCGGAAACUUAUGGUUGCACUUAUA
rnacentral:pre_miRNA from 1 species